AUACCAAAAAACCAAUACAGCUUGAGAAUAAUAUUAUAAAAAUAUAAUUUUUCAACAAUGCUUGAGAAACACUUAUGUUCCACAAACUUUUCUCAAAUCUGUCCUUUGUUGACAAAUUAGUUUUGAUUUUUUGUGAAAAUUGUCAGCAAGAAAUUAUUUUUUUUGAUAAAAAAGCAAAAUCAAGCGAAUUUAGGACACAUUUCUGGACCAAAUUCUUAAGAUUGGAUGCAUCAAAAAAGUGGCAGGAAUUCAAUAAAUGUGUAGUCUUAGUGGAAGAGAUGCAGAAGCUCAAAUAAGGGAGAAGAAAGCGUCAGGUUAUCAAGGCCACAUGAGGCAGUGACUACUGGGAUGUCCAUCAAGAAAAAAAAUGUGAAAAAUGAUUAAAAAUUAAUAUUUUGUACUAUUACAAAAAUAAGCUUUAUAUAAUAUUAUUUUCGUAAGCUUAUUCUACAAUUUCAA